AUGCUACCGGGCGACCGGAUGCGGAUCUCGAGAGCCUGUCCCAGUUCGGACUGGAGUCUGCAACCCGACUCCACGAAGUUGGAUUCGCUAGUAAUCGCGCAUCAGCCAUGGCGCGGUGAAUACGUUCCCGGGCCUUGUACACACCGCCCGUCAAGCCAUGGGAGCCGGGGGCGCCUGAAGUCCGGGACCGCGAGGACCGGCCUAGGGCGAAACUGGUAACUGGGGCUAAGUCGUAACAAGGUACC
rnacentral:rRNA from 1 species